rnacentral:rRNA from 1 species
AUUGAACGCUGGCGGCAUGCCUUACACAUGCAAGUCGAACGGUAACGGGCCUUCGGGUGCCGACGAGUGGCGAACGGGUGAGUAAUGUAUCGGAACGUACCUUUCAGUGGGGGAUAACGUAGCGAAAGUUACGCUAAUACCGCAUAUUCUGUGAGCAGGAAAGCAGGGGAUCGCAAGACCUUGCGCUGAUUGAGCGGCCGAUAUCAGAUUAGCUAGUUGGUGAGGUAAAGGCUCACCAAGGCGACGAUCUGUAGCGGGUCUGAGAGGAUGAUCCGCCACACGGGAACUGAGACACGGUCCAGACUCCUACGGGAGGCAGCAGUGGGGAAUUUUGGACAAUGGGGGCAACCCUGAUCCAGCCAUGCCGCGUGAGUGAAGAAGGCCUUCGGGUUGUAAAGCUCUUUCGGCCGGGAAGAAAUCGUAUCAGCUAAUACCUGGUGCGGAUGACGGUACCGGUAUAAGAAGCACCGGCUAACUACGUGCCAGCCGCCGCCGUAAGAC